rnacentral:rRNA from 1 species
GGGGGGCGCUACCAUGCAGUCGAACGGUAACAGGAAGCAGCUUGCUGCUUUGCUGACGAGUGGCGGACGGGUGAGUAAUGUCUGGGAAACUGCCUGAUGGAGGGGGAUAACUACUGGAAACGGUAGCUAAUACCGCAUAACGUCGCAAGACCAAAGAGGGGGACCUUCGGGCCUCUUGCCAUCGGAUGUGCCCAGAUGGGAUUAGCUAGUAGGUGGGGUAAAGGCUCACCUAGGCGACGAUCCCUAGCUGGUCUGAGAGGAUGACCAGCCACACUGGAACUGAGACACGGUCCAGACUCCUACGGGAGGCAGCAGUGGGGAAUAUUGCACAAUGGGCGCAAGCCUGAUGCAGCCAUGCCGCGUGUAUGAAGAAGGCCUUCGGGUUGUAAAGUACUUUCAGCGGGGAGGAAGGGAGUAAAGUUAAUACCUUUGCUCAUUGACGUUACCCGCAGAAGAAGCACCGGCUAACUCCGUGCCAGCAGCCGCGGUAAUACGGAGGGUGCAAGCGUUAAUCGGAAUUACUGGGCGUAAAGCGCACGCAGGCGGUUUGUUAAGUCAGAUGUGAAAUCCCCGGGCUCAACCUGGGAACUGCAUCUGAUA